rnacentral:rRNA from 1 species
UACGUGGGGGGCCAGCGUUGUCCGGAAUCAUUGGGCGUAAAGCGCGCGUAGGCGGCCAGAUAAGUCCGGUGUGAAAGUCAAAGGCUCAACCCUUUGAAUGCCGCUGGAAACUGCCUGGCUUGAGUCCGGAAGGGGCGAGUGGAAUUCCUGGUGUAGCGGUGAAAUGCGCAGAUAUCAGGAGGAACACCAAUGGCGGAGGCAGCUCGCUGGAACGGUACUGACGCUGAGGCGCGAAAGCGUGGGGAGCGAACAGG